UAGUCCUAGCUGUAAACGGUGCACAUUUGCUGUAGGCGGAUUCGACCCCGUCUGUGGCGGAGCAAACGCGUUAAAUGUGCCGCCUGGGGAGUACGGUCGCAAGAUUAAAACUCAAAGAAAUUGACGGGGACCCGCACAAGCGGUGGAGCAUGUGGCUUAAUUCGAUGCAACGCGAAGAACCUUACCUGGGCUUGACAUGUUUGUCAUAGACUUAUGAAAGUUUGUCGUCACUUCGGGUGGACAAUCACAGGUGCUGCAUGGCUGUCGUCAGCUCGUGUCGUGAGAUGUCAGGUUAAGUCCUAUAACGAGCGCAACCCCUAUGAACUGUUGCCAGCGGGUAAUGCCGGGGACUCUGUUCAGACUGCCCAGAUUAACUGGGAGGAAGGAGGGGAUGACGUCAAGUCAGUAUGGCCCUUACGCCCAGGGCUGCACACGUGCUACAAUGUCCAGUACAAUGUGAUCCGAUACCGCGAGGUGGAGGAAAUCCUGAAAACGU
rnacentral:rRNA from 1 species